GGUGGGAUAGUCUGACCUGUUUGCUGGGAGAUUCUGGCCUGGUGUUUAUUUUGCUUCCUCAUCUCUCUUACAUAUUACAUUUAAAUGCGUCUCACAUCCCGGCACAAAUAAACCAGCUCUCACUGUCUGCCCACGCCUCAGACAGACAGACAGACAGACAGAUAGACAGUUAGACACACAGAGAGACAGACAAUUACACACACAGGCAGACUGGCCAGAAGAAAGACAGAAUAAUAAUAGAGAGCGAUAAACAGGAGACAGACUGACAAGCAGACAGAACUACUAAACAUAUAGACAGAUAUACUGUGCAUACUGCAGACAGACAGAAAAACAGACAAAUCAUAUGCACAGACAACUGGAUAAACAUACAUAUGGACAGACAGGCAGACAGAUCGACUGUAUAUACAGACACACCACUACACCACUGGAGAAAUAGAGAGAUAAACAGAUGGAUGGAAAGACAAAUACACAGAAAGACAGAUAGACAAUCUGACAGGUAAACAGACUGAGAGACAGACAGACAUGUUGCCAUACAAAUACACUAAUUGAUAGAUAAACUGACAGAUGGACGGACAAACAAAUAGACAGAUAAAUAAACAGCUUGAUGUAUAUAAACAUACUAUAUAUAUAUAGAUGAAAUAAACAGAUUGUUACACAUAUAACCAGACAGACAGACAGACAGACACAUAAAUGGACAGACAAACAUACACAGAUAGAUAGAUAGAUAGAUAGAUAGAUAGUCCCACAGACAGACAGAUAGAUAGAUAGAUAGAUAGAUAGAUAGAUAGAUAGAUAGAUAGAUAGAUAGAUAGAUAGAUAGAUAGAUAGAUAGAUAGUCCCACAGACAGACAUACAGAUAGAUAGAUAGAUAGAUAGAUAGAUAGAUAGAUAGAUAGAUAGAUAGAUAGAUAGAUAGAUAGAUAGAUAGAUAAUCCCACAGACAGACAGACAGAUAGAUAGAUAGACAGACAGAUAGAUAGGUCAAUAAACAGAGAGAGAUAAAGACAGACAAAAGCAAUUGACAGACCAACAGAAAGUGAAAAGAAAAGCAGGCCGAUCAAGAAGCAGACAGACAGACAGACAGACAGACAGACAGACAUACACAGUGCGCGCCGUGUGAAGUGGAAGAUAAACAGGGGAGGUGAAGAGCGGGAUGAUGGAUGGAGGAUAAAGAGUGACGGUUCUCUCUCUCUCUUGGCCGGCGGCGGGGGUCUUCACCCCGCUGACGAAGCAGGACCACCUCAUCCCGGAUUCCUCACAGGAGGAGAAAAGCCAGGGAUUCUAUGGCCAAUUUGACUCCAUCUUCAAAGAGACAUUAACAUAGCGCUGCAUCCCUUUU